GCUUCCUUGGCUCAGUUGGCUAGAGCGCAGGUCUCAUACGAAAGUGUGAUCAGUCCCAUGACUGAGUAAUCCUGAGGUCGCAAGUUCGAGCCUUGCAGGGAGCA